UAAUAAGUGUUUUAUGGCACUUUUUUGAUCCAUAUCCACCUUGUGUGCAAUGUCAGUCGAUCUUCUUCAUGGAGAUCGACCAAACAUCAACCUUUAUCUUUUAACUCUUUGUCUGAAAAAUAUUAUGAAUAAACAAUUCAAAAUA
rnacentral:misc_RNA from 1 species